UACGUAGGGCGCAAGCGUUGUCCGGAAUUAUUGGGCGUAAAGAGCUCGUAGGCGGUUUGUCGCGUCUGCUGUGAAAAACCUAAGGCUCAACCUUGGGCUUGCAGUGGGUACGGGCAGACUAGAGUGCGGUAGGGGGUGACUGGAAUUCCUGGUGUAGCGGUGGAAUGCGCAGAUAUCAGGAGGAACACCGAUGGCGAAGGCAGGUCACUGGGCCGCAA
rnacentral:rRNA from 1 species